rnacentral:rRNA from 1 species
CCUACGGGGGGCAGCAGUGAGGAAUAUUGGUCAAUGGGCGCGAGCCUGAACCAGCCAAGUCGCGUGAGGGAGGACGGCCCUACGGGUUGUAAACCUCUUUUGCCGGGGAGCAACGGGCGUCACGUGUGGCGCCACUGAGAGUACCCGGAGAAAAAGCAUCGGCUAACUCCGUGCCAGCAGCCGCGGUAAUACGGAGGAUGCGAGCGUUAUCCGGAUUUAUUGGGUUUAAAGGGUGCGUAGAUGGGUUGUUAAGUCAGUUGUGAAAGUUUGCGGCUCAACCGUAAAAUUGCAAUUGAUACUGGCAGUCUUGAGUACAGUUGAGGUAGGCGGAAUGCGUGGUGUAGCGGUGAAAUGCUUAGAUAUCACGAAGAACUCCGAUUGCGAAGGCAGCAUACCGGCGCCCAACUGACGCUGAAGCACGAAAGCGUGGGUAUCGAACAGGAUUAGAUACCCCAGUAGUC